CCGGCGAUGUCCGAAUGGGGAAACCCAGUGCAAUUCGUUGCACUAUCGUUAACUGAAUACAUAGGUUAACGAGGCGAACCGGGGGAACUGAAACAUCUAAGUACCCCGAGGAAAAGAAAUCAACCGAGAUUCCCCCAGUAGCGGCGAGCGAACGGGGAGCAGCCCAGAGUCUGAAUCAGCUUGUGUGUUAGUGGAACGGUCUGGAAAGUCCGACGGUACAGGGUGAUAGUCCCGUACACCAAAAUGCACAGGCUGUGAACUCGAAGAGUAGGGCGGGACACGUGGUAUCCUGUCUGAAUAUGGGGGGACCAUCCUCCAAGGCUAAAUACUCCUGACUGACCGAUAGUGAACCAGUACCGUGAGGGAAAGGCGAAAAGAACCCCGGCGAGGGGAGUGAAAAAGAACCUGAAACCGUGUACGUACAAGCAGUGGGAGCACCUUCGGGUGUGACUGCGUACCUUUUGUAUAAUGGGUCAGCGACUUAUAUUCUGUAGCAAGGUUAACCGAAUAGGGGAGCCGCAGGGAAACCGAGUCUUAACUGGGCGUUAAGUUGCAGGGUAUAGACCCGAAACCCGGUGAUCUAGCCAUGGGCAGGUUGAAGGUUGGGUAACACUAACUGGAGGACCGAACCGACUAAUGUUGAAAAAUUAGCGGAUGACUUGUGGCUGGGGGUGAAAGGCCAAUCAAACCGGGAGAUAGCUGGUUCUCCCCGAAAGCUAUUUAGGUAGCGCCUCGUGAAUUCAUCUUCGGGGGUAGAGCACUGUUUCGGCUAGGGGGUCAUCCCGACUUACCAACCCGAUGCAAACUACGAAUACCGAAGAAUGUUAUCACGGGAGACACACGGCGGGUGCUAACGUCCGUCGUGAAGAGGGAAACAACCCAGACCGCCAGCUAAGGUCCCAAAGUCAUGGUUAAGUGGGAAACGAUGUGGGAAGGCACAGACAGCCAGGAUGUUGGCUUAGAAGCAGCCAUCAUUUAAAGAAAGCGUAAUAGCUCACUGGUCGAGUCGGCCUGCGCGGAAGAUGUAACGGGGCUAAACCAUGCACCGAAGCUGCGGCAGCGACACUAUGUGUUGUUGGGUAGGGGAGCGUUCUGUAAGCCUGCGAAGGUGGCCUGUGAGGGUUGCUGGAGGUAUCAGAAGUGCGAAUGCUGACAUAAGUAACGAUAAAGCGGGUGAAAAGCCCGCUCGCCGGAAGACCAAGGGUUCCUGUCCAACGUUAAUCGGGGCAGGGUGAGUCGACCCCUAAGGCGAGGCCGAAAGGCGUAGUCGAUGGGAAACAGGUUAAUAUUCCUGUACUUGGUGUUACUGCGAAGGGGGGACGGAGAAGGCUAUGUUAGCCGGGCGACGGUUGUCCCGGUUUAAGCAUGUAGGCGGAGGUUCCAGGUAAAUCCGGUACCUUUUAACGCUGAGGUGUGAUGACGAGGCACUACGGUGCUGAAGUAACAAAUGCCCUGCUUCCAGGAAAAGCCUCUAAGCAUCAGGUAACAUUGAAUCGUACCCCAAACCGACACAGGUGGUCAGGUAGAGAAUACCAAGGCGCUUGAGAGAACUCGGGUGAAGGAACUAGGCAAAAUGGUGCCGUAACUUCGGGAGAAGGCACGCUGAUAUGUAGGUGAAGCCCCUGCGGGUGGAGCUGAAAUCAGUCGAAGAUACCAGCUGGCUGCAACUGUUUAUUAAAAACACAGCACUGUGCAAACACGAAAGUGGACGUAUACGGUGUGACGCCUGCCCGGUGCCGGAAGGUUAAUUGAUGGGGUUAUCCGUAAGGAGAAGCUCUUGAUCGAAGCCCCGGUAAACGGCGGCCGUAACUAUAACGGUCCUAAGGUAGCGAAAUUCCUUGUCGGGUAAGUUCCGACCUGCACGAAUGGCGUAAUGAUGGCCAGGCUGUCUCCACCCGAGACUCAGUGAAAUUGAACUCGCUGUGAAGAUGCAGUGUACCCGCGGCAAGACGGAAAGACCCCGUGAACCUUUACUAUAGCUUGACACUGAACAUUGAGCCUUGAUGUGUAG
rnacentral:rRNA from 1 species